UGUGCCAAGCAUAUACUCCUUUUUGCUACAAGAAUAUUCCAUUUCAUAAGUAUAAAAUCACAUUUAAAAUUUACAUAUUCAAAUCAUGAGUUUGAAACUUCUAAAAACGUUAUUCAAUCCCUCUUUAAAUUCAUAUAUUAGCAGGAUUUAGUAGAGGCUGAAGAUGUCAAGAGAGGGGAGGUGUUGAGAUCGAUUGACCAUUCAGAAGGUAAUCAAUCAAAUGCGAAGAAAUCAAUAAACAUGAUGGUGUGUUGGAUGAAGGAUGCAAGAGAGACCUCCAUGUAAACACUCUUUCUUUCUUUUGAAGGCGUAUAGUAAAGCUUGAGGGUCAUUUUUCUAAUGAAAAGUAUAUUGAGUAUUUUAUGUAAUAAGUUAGAAAGUAGAAUAGUGAAAAUUUUGCAAUAUUUAGUAUUUUAGAAAACAUGUAUGUAAAUAGUAGUUUGCUUCAUGAUAAUAACAAUAAAUUUUUACUAAAUUAAUUUGAAUAUUAUGAUCUAUGAACACCUAUAAAUUAACAUAAAAUCUUUCAAUUA